UACACGCCUGUUUCGAGUGGAACAUUUAGUUCGAACGCGCCGCUCCGCGCCUAACCUCAUUUGCAUAUAUGGGAAAAUUAACCUGUUCAUUUGCAUAUAUGGGAAAAUACCGUGUUCCCGCUAGCGCACUGUGACUUUUGGCCUUUGACACCACAAAUCAUGACGUAUAGUCACAUGCAACCAUUUGCAAUGGGAACAACGUUGCUACAGGGUAGCGAACAGAGUCUUGCGAGAAUUGGUUGAGUCUUUAGCACCUCUUAGCCGCGAGAAUGCAGAAAUUACGAAGAAAACUGGCUGGUCUCUCUUCGGAUGUGUAUUAAAGAGCCUGACUAGUUAAAGGGAACCCUGUACUGCUGUUGCCAAUAUUAACGAGGGAGACUUCAGUUUGCAAAACGCACACCAUCCUGU